GAUGAACGCUGGCGGCGUGCCUAAUACAUGCAAGUCGAGCGAACGGACGAGAAGCUUGCUUCUCUGAUGUUAGCGGCGGACGGGUGAGUAACACGUGGAUAACCUACCUAUAAGACUGGGAUAACUUCGGGAAACCGGAGCUAAUACCGGAUGAUAUUUUGAACCGCAUGGUUCAAAGGUGAAAGACGGUCUUGCUGUCACUUAUAGAUGGAUCCGCGCUGCAUUAGCUAGUUGGUAAGGUAACGGCUUACCAAGGCAACGAUGCAUAGCCGACCUGAGAGGGUGAUCGGCCACACUGGAACUGAGACACGGUCCAGACUCCUACGGGAGGCAGCAGUAGGGAAUCUUCCGCAAUGGGCGAAAGCCUGACGGAGCAACGCCGCGUGAGUGAUGAAGGUCUUCGGAUCGUAAAACUCUGUUAUUAGGGAAGAACAUAUGUGUAAGUAACUGUGCACAUCUUGACGGUACCUAAUCAGAAAGCCACGGCUAACUAUGUG
rnacentral:rRNA from 1 species